CCAGAACAAGCAACUUCAAGUUGCACCAUUAUUUGCACAUCAAUGUAUUGGAGGUGCCUAAAUUUGAAGGGAACACUUAGAUUAUGAUAGGUGUUGCUUGUCAAAGAAGAUGAACAAGUCAUACUGAAAUUACUAUCUUCCAGCUGUUUCCCCAAAAUAAUCCACAAAAAAAAAAACACACAAACACACACGCAGACCAUCGUCUGAUUCAUCAGGGGAGAAGGAGAUCAUAUUAUGUUCUCCUACAUCAACCAAAACAAAGGCCUGCUUGGGAAUAAUCCUUUGUUCAAAGCCUUUCUCUUCUUCCAAAAUCUUGAUUCCCAACAAUGACUUCCACUUCAGCAAUCCCACUUCGUUGAGGAUCAGCCCACCCCCCACCCCCCACCCCAACCAUUAGCCCGAGGCCAUUCUCCUACGCUGCUGCGCUCAACGGCUCCAGCGCUAUCGUUGGAGCAGGAGGAGUGAUUCUCUUUAGUUUUCUUAUCGUGAGCAGUCAACGCUUAAAAUUUACAUUGUCUAGAGGCUAUGGUUAUAAGCUCUCCGAUGAGGUGGUUGUAAUAGAGCUGGAGCAGGUUGCAGAGGCGCCCGAGCUCAAGUGGGAUGCUGCCCAUGCAGCUCGAGGUCAACGGGGAAAGCUUUUUUAUUUUUUAUUUUUUAAUCUUUGAGUUAGGUAGCUUGAUUAUAAAAUCGUACUACUAUUACACUAAAUAAGACAAAAAAAUAAAGCAACUUGAAAAUGUAAGUAAGUAGCUUUAUUUUUGAGUAAAAAUUAAAAUCUCAUUUUUGUUAAGUUGUAAUGAAAAAUAUCAAUUUUUAUAAAAUUAUUGUGUUUAUGUUCAAA